GUAAUGUUAGUAUAUUUUUAUUAUUUUUGAUUUUCUAUCGAAAGAUUUAUCAUUAUU
rnacentral:tRNA from 1 species